GGUGAACGCUAGCGGCAGGCCUAAUACAUGCAAGUCGGACGGGAUUCAGGAGCUUGCUUCUGGUGAGAGUGGCGCACGGGUGCGUAACACGUAUGUAAUCUACCUUUAUCAGGGGGAUAGCCUCUCGAAAGAGAGAUUAAGCACGCAUAAAAUAACAGCACAGCAUUGUGUAAUGAUCAAAUAUUUAUAGGAUAAAGAUGGGCAUGCGGAACAUUAGCUAGAUGGCGGGGUAACGGCCCACCAUGGCGACGAUGUUUAGGGGAGCUGAGAGGAUGGCACCCCACACCGGUACUGAGGCACGGACCAGACUCCUACGGGAGGCAGCAGUAAGGAAUAUUGGUCAAUGGGCGGAAGCCUGAACCAGCCAUGCCGCGUGCAGGAAGACGGCCCUACGAGUUGUAAACUGCUUUUAUACGGGAAUAAACCCAGAUACGUGUAUCUGGCUGAAUGUACUGUAAGAAUAAGGAUCGGCUAACCCCGUG
rnacentral:rRNA from 1 species